rnacentral:rRNA from 1 species
GGACGGGUGAGUAACGCGUGAGGAACCUGCCUUGAAGAGGGGGACAACAGUUGGAAACGACUGCUAAUACCGCAUGAAGCAUAGGGGUCGCAUGAUUCUUACGCCAAAGAUUUAUCGCUUCAAGAUGGCCUCGCGUCUGAUUAGCUAGUUGGCGGGGUGACGGCCCACCAAGGCGACGAUCAGUAGCCGGACUGAGAGGUUGAACGGCCACAUUGGGACUGAGAUACGGCCCAGACUCCUACGGGAGGCAGCAGUGGGGAAUAUUGGGCAAUGGGCGCAAGCCUGACCCAGCAACGCCGCGUGAAGGAAGAAGGCUUUCGGGUUGUAAACUUCUUUUAAGAGGGAAGAGCAGAAGACGGUACCUCUAGAAUAAGCCACGGCUAACUACGUGCCAGCAGCCGCGGUAAUACGUAGGUGGCAAGCGUUGUCCGGAUUUACUGGGUGUAAAGGGCGUGCAGCCGGGUCUGCAAGUCAGAUGUGAAAUCCAUGGGCUCAACCCAUGAACUGCAUUUGAAACUGUAGAUCUUGAGUGUCGGAGGGGCAAUCGGAAUUCCUAGUGUAGCGGUGAAAUGCGUA